rnacentral:rRNA from 1 species
GAUGAACGCUAGCUACAGGCUUAACACAUGCAAGUCGAGGGGAAACGAUAGAGAAAGCUUGCUUUUUCUAGGCGUCGACCGGCGCACGGGUGAGUAACGCGUAUCCAACCUGCCCAUCACUUGGGGAUAACCUUGCGAAAGUAAGACUAAUACCCAAUGACGUCUCUAGAAGACAUCUGAAAGAGAUUAAAGAUUUAUCGGUGAUGGAUGGGGAUGCGUCUGAUUAGCUUGUUGGCGGGGUAACGGCCCACCAAGGCGACGAUCAGUAGGGGUUCUGAGAGGAAGGUCCCCCCACAUUGGAACUGAGACACGGUCCAAACUCCUACGGGAGGCAGCAGUGAGGAAUAUUGGUCAAUGGACGAGAGUCUGAACCAGCCAAGUAGCGUGAAGGAUGACUGCCCUAUGGGUUGUAAACUUCUUUUAUACGGGAAUAAAGUGAGCCACGUGUGGCUUUUUGUAUGUACCGUAUGAAUAAGGAUCGGCUAACUCCGUG